rnacentral:rRNA from 1 species
CUCCCUACGGGACGCAGCAGUGGGGAAUAUUGGGCAAUGGGCGCAAGCCUGACCCAGCAACGCCGCGUGAAGGAAGAAGGCUUUCGAGUUGUAAACUUCUUUUCUCAGGGACGAAGAAAGUGACGGUACCUGAGGAAUAAGCCACGGCUAACUACGUGCCAGCAGCCGCGGUAAUACGUAGGUGGCAAGCGUUAUCCGGAUUUAUUGGGUGUAAAGGGCGUGUAGGCGGGAGCGCAAGUCAGAUGGGAAAACACAGG